CACUGCUCUCUCUCCAUUCCCAAUUUGUUGCUAGGAAAUUCUGCAGCUGACAAGAGAUGCAAUCAAGGUGAUUGAAAACUACAUCUGGAUGCUCGAUUGGGCUCUGAAAACCACAGCUGCUGGGCUUUCCAAGGAUCUCAGGGCCAUGUGGUCAUCCGGCUGCCAGAGAAAAUCCAGCCCAGAGCUUUCACCAUCUGGCACAUCUCCAGGGCAGUCUCUCCGUGUGGGGAAGUCAGCAG
rnacentral:lncRNA from 7 species